rnacentral:rRNA from 1 species
GGGUUGUGAGGUUAAGCGACUAAGCGUACACGGUGGAUGCCCUGGCAGUCAGAGGCGAUGAAGGACGUGCUAAUCUGCGAAAAGCGUCGGUAAGGUGAUAUGAACCGUUAUAACCGGCGAUGUCCGAAUGGGGAAACCCAGUGUGAUUCGUCACACUAUCGUUAACUGAAUACAUAGGUUAACGAGGCGAACCGGGGGAACUGAAACAUCUAAGUACCCCGAGGAAAAGAAAUCAACCGAGAUUCCCCCAGUAGCGGCGAGCGAACGGGGAGCAGCCCAGAGUCUGAAUCAGCUUGUGUGUUAGUGGAACGGUCUGGAAAGUCCGACGGUACAGGGUGAUAGUCCCGUACACCAAAAUGCACAGGCUGUGAACUCGAAGAGUAGGGCGGGACACGUGGUAUCCUGUCUGAAUAUGGGGGGACCAUCCUCCAAGGCUAAAUACUCCUGACUGACCGAUAGUGAACCAGUACCGUGAGGGAAAGGCGAAAAGAACCCCGGCGAGGGGAGUGAAAAAGAACCUGAAACCGUGUACGUACAAGCAGUGGGAGCACCUUCGGGUGUGACUGGCGUACCUUUUGUAGUAAUGGGU